rnacentral:rRNA from 1 species
AGUCGAACGGCAGCACGGGAGCAAUCCUGGUGGCGAGUGGCGAACGGGUGAGUAAUAUAUCGGAACGUGCCCAGUCGUGGGGGAUAACGCAGCGAAAGCUGUGCUAAUACCGCAUACGAUCUACGGAUGAAAGCGGGGGAUCGCAAGACCUCGCGCGAUUGGAGCGGCCGAUAUCAGAUUAGGUUGUUGGUGGGGUAAAAGCCCACCAAGCCGACGAUCUGUAGCUGGUCUGAGAGGACGACCAGCCACACUGGAACUGAGACACGGUCCAGACUCCUACGGGAGGCAGCAGUGGGGAAUUUUGGACAAUGGGCGCAAGCCUGAUCCAGCAAUGCCGCGUGCAGGAUGAAGGCCUUCGGGUUGUAAACUGCUUUUGUACGGAACGAAACGGUUCACUCCAAUACAGUGAGCUAAUGACGGUACCGUAAGAAUAAGCACCGGCUAACUACGUGCCAGCAGCCGCGGUAAUACGUAGGGUGCGAGCGUUAAUCGGAAUUACUGGGCGUAAAGCGUGCGCACGCGGUUAUAUAAGACAGAUGUGAAAUCCCCGGGCUCAACCUGGGACCUGCAUUUGUGACUGUAUAGCUAGAGUGCGGCACAGGGGGAUGGAAUUCCGCGUGUAGCAGUGAAAUGCGUAGAUAUGCGGAGGAACACCGAUGGCGAAGGCAAUCCCCUGGGCCUGCACUGACGCUCAUGCACGAAAGCGUGGGGAGCAAACAGGAUUAGAUACCCUGGUAGUCCACGCCCUAAACGAUGUCAACUGGUUGUUGGGUCUUCACUGACUC